rnacentral:rRNA from 1 species
GAUGAACGCGGCGGCGUGCUUAACACAUGCAAGUCGAACGAAGCUGUUAAAAGGAAGUCUUCGGAUGGAAUUUUAACAGACUUAGUGGCGGACGGGUGAGUAACGCGUGGAUAACCUGCCUUAUACAGGGGGAUAACGGAGAGAAAUUUCCGCUAAGACCGCAUAAGACCACAGCACCGCAUGGUGCAGGGGUAAAAUAUUAAUAGGUAUAAGAUGGAUCCGCGUCCGAUUAGCUAGUUGGUGAGGUAGAGGCUCACCAAGGCGACGAUCGGUAGCCGGCCUGAGAGGGUGAACGGCCACAUUGGGACUGAGACACGGCCCAAACUCCUACGGGAGGCAGCAGUGGGGAAUAUUGGACAAUGGGGGAAACCCUGAUCCAGCGACGCCGCGUGAGUGAAGAAGUAUUUCGGUAUGUAAAGCUCUAUCAGCAGGGAAGAAAAUGACGUACCUGACUAAGAGCCCC